rnacentral:rRNA from 1 species
AAGACCUUGCGCUUUUGGAGCGGCCGAUGCCUGAUUAGCUUGUUGGUAAGGUAAAAGCUUACCAAGGCUUCGAUCAGUAGCUGGUCUGAGAGGACGACCAGCCACACUGGGACUGAGACACGGCCCAGACUCCUACGGGAGGCAGCAGUGGGGAAUUUUGGACAACGGGGGCAACCCUGAUCCAGCCAUGCCGCGUGAGUGAAGAAGGCCUUCGGGUUGUAAAGCUCUUUCAGCCGGAACGAAACGGUUACGGUUAAUACCCGUGACUACUGACGGUACCGGAAGAAGAAGCACCGGCUAACUACGUGCCAGCAGCCGCGGUAAUACGUAGGGUGCAAGCGUUAAUCGGAAUUACUGGGCGUAAAGCGUGCGCAGGUGGUUUUGUAAGUCAGAUGUGAAAUCCCCGGGCUCAACCUGGGAACU